GGAUCGAGUGGCAUUCGAUAAAGUUAAAGUGAAAUGACACUAGAGAUAGUAUGAGGUAAAGAACCAAUGUAACGUAAAGAAUGAUGAAAAUGACAAUGUUUAAAGUUAAAGUAAUGUGGGGAGUAAAGAACGUGAAGUGCUAGAGGUAGCCAAAAGUAAAGAAUGUAAAGAAUAUAAUUGCUAGAGUUAGCAAGAGUAAUGAAUGCUAAAGAACAAUGAUUGCUAGAGUGGCAACAAAAAGUGAUGAAAGAACACUAGAGGUAGUGUAAAGUCAAGAUUGAACUUAUAAAUCCCUUGAGUUAAGGAUAUGAUCAUACUUGCUAUGAGUUCC
rnacentral:lncRNA from 1 species